CCCCUCUCAGGGUUGCACCUGGAGAGUUUCCAGUACUUUACCAGUCUUGACUAUGAAGGGAGAGUCAAGCAAAGGCCUGUCCAUUCCAUUCCUAGCUUGGGCAGUGGCUAGUGAGUGGAAGGCAAUCUGCUACAAGU
rnacentral:snoRNA from 1 species